UACAGAGGGGGCGAGCGUUGUUCGGAAUUACUGGGCGUAAAGGGCGCGUAGGCGGCCUUCUAAGUCGAACGUGAAAUCCCCGGGCUCAACCCGGGAACUGCGUCCGAUACUGGGAGGCUUGAAUCCGGGAGAGGGAUGUGGAAUUCCAGGUGUAGCGGUGAAAUGCGUAGAUAUCUGGAGGAACACCGGCGGCGAAGGCGGCAUCCUGGACCGGUAUUGACGCUGAGGCGCGAAAGCCAGGGGAGCAAACGGG
rnacentral:rRNA from 1 species